UCGACAUAUGAUUAUCUUUUCCACCUCCCAUAGGGCAUCGCCUCCUCAAAGCCUUAUCACCCAUUGCAACCGUCUCAAAAACAACUACCGAGCACUUCCAAAUCAGUUUAUUGUGAAAAUUUAAAGCGAUCGGUACUGGCUCAAGACUAGCGGACAGUCAGACAAAGAACGUGUACUUUUUUAACUAUUUAUUACUUGAAUUUGUUUUCGCAGUCCACUUGAGAUAGUGACAUAAUAAACAAUUACAAUAUACACAUAUUUGCAUAAAUUUGUUUGCGGAAGCUGUUCUUUAGUCGGGAAAUGCUGUCACAAAUUACAGUAAAAAUGUUCGUUAUGGCAGUGAUUUUGAUGUCGAUGCUGUGUCAUGGCUUACCGUUGCUUGGUUAUCAAACUAAUUUCGAGGACAAUCCUCGCAGUCCAGGACGUCCAAAGCCGGUCUUUGUGCAUUGCGAUGAAAUCGGAAAUCAUUUAAAUUGUAUGCUUUAUUGCAAGAGCAGGGGGCAUACGAGUGGAAAUUGUGACGGUGAUUUUAUUUGUAACUGCUUUUAGCUCUCAAUUAACUAUGUAACGGUAUAUAGACAUCUUGUAAAUUGUGUUCUUUACAUUAUAUUUAUUCAUUUAUAUGUAUACGUUCUGAUCAAUUAAUUGUAUAAACUGUGCGAAUAAAGGUUAAAGGCCAUUUA